CCUGUCCACCGUGGGUGACCUUGCUGGUAUCUGAAAUACCAGUGGCAUAGGUUUCAGCAUCACAGCAACACAUACCAUCCACGUACCAUGACACAGUAUGACAACUGGACAGAGGGGUUUCCUGACCAGGAAACGAACUCAGGCCGCAGAAGUGAGAAUGCUGAAUCUUAACCACUAGACCACCAAGGCUGGCUUUUCUUCACAUAGGUCUUGCAUAUUUCUUGCAAAGUUUAUUUCUAAAUUUUAACUUCUUUGGUUGCUAUUAUAAAUGUUGCAUUUUCUUCUAUUAUAUUUUCUAACAAGUUGCUUAUAGAGAGAAAAGCUAUUGGUUUGUCUAAUAAGAAUAUACCCUGACACUUGACUAAAUUCUCUUGGAUUUUCCAGGUAUAUAAUCUUAUCAUCUGCAAAUGGUGUUAGUUUUACCUUCUCUUUUCCAAUUUGCACAUCUCUAAUGGCCUUUUCCUCUCUGACUGCAUUGCCUAACACCCACCAAACAAUGUUAAAUAAUAAUCAAUCACCCAAAAGAGGCCUAGUCAUGUUUUGAUCCGCUUUAAGUAGUCUGGGAAGAAUUGAACAUUAAAGAAGUUUGAAGGAUUGAAUCUUACCUUCUUACAAAGAAGAAAUCUACUACUAGGCUGCAGUUUAUACAAGGCUGCAACUUUCCUUAAGAAUACAAAAAAAGGCAGGAUUAAAGCUAAGAUGAUAACCCUUCACACCGAAGUAUCUGGCAAUAGUUCACACCUGGUACUAGGCUGCGUCAAAGACGCUAAACAGGCCUUGUCUUCUAAAAAAGGUGAUGCUUUUGUCACAGAACUUUAGAGAUAGUCAGGGUGCAAAUAAGAGCAGACACAGAGGUAAUAUGGAGAAGUGAAAAGCUGUUAAACAGAUUGGAGGUUGUAGCAGAGAUGAAUUUAACUUUCAAAACAAUAUUAAGUCCAUAAGCUUCAAGCUUACAGCCACUGAAACCCACCAAAGAGGUAACACUGCCCAUUUCUGACGCCAGUCAGGGCUUUCAGCAGCAUAUCAAGGCAGGAAUAGUACCAGGAGAGGAGGUUAGAAAGGCUAUACUCUAAGAUUUAAAUAUUUGGGGGGAGGACGAGUCACAACAGCUGAACAACAAGGAUAUAGGCAUUGUAGGCUUGGCCCUACACCAGAAAAAGCAGUUUACUGGUCCAGAUCCCAAGAUGCACAUACAGCUCUAUUAAAAGACAGAAGAGCCCAGCAGAAAACCAGGUCCUGAUGUUUUGCAGAGUCAUGAUGUAGAUAUGAACAAGAAAUCGUUGGCUCGUUUCUGUCAUUUAUACACUGGGGAAAUGACUGGGAAGACUUUGGUUAAGACAAAGCAGAACUAAAUUCUGGUCAGUCUCCAUCUCGAACCAGUUUGGAAAUCCAAUGAAGAGUGUUUGAUUUGUUUGGUUUUUAGAUGUCUGGGAGGACACACCAAAGACACGGUAGUGUGUAAAAGGAAGUUUAGUACAAGCUGGGCAAGUUCAGCAUUGAGAGAGCCUGGCCUUUAAAUAUCCAUUUAUAAACACUGGCUUGUAAAAGAGUAUUUUUAAGAUAAAUAAAGUUCAGAUAAUCCGGUUAUAUAGUUUAGAGAUCAACAGAGUAAAUCUGGAUUUUUUUUCAAAACUCAUUUUCCAAAUUUGAGUCAAAAAUAACAUAAACUUUGAGGGCUGGCGAUGUGUUGGAAGUGAAGCGAUGGGGGCAUAGCAAAUAGAACUGCCAUACAGUGAAUGAGAAGCAGGUCUCACAACAGCAAUUUGCAAACUGCCUCAAAUCCAAAACAUCUCUACCUUUUCCAAUCUCAUACUGAGUAUAGUACACGGUAUGCAGAUCCUCACCAUGAACCCGUUAUAUACACUCGACAAUUCUUUAAGGAAAAGAAAAAUAUAAGAAUUCCUAGGGAAUUUUAAAUGCAGGAUUUCUCGGUAGUGGGUCAUACGUAAAGACUAAUUACGACUUAAUCCUCCAACAGCUCUAAGGUAGAGGUUUACAAACUGCAGGGGUGCAUUAGAAGCACCUAGACGGCUUGUUUAGAGCACAAACCGUCGGGGCCACACUUUGAGAAGCGCGGCACCAAUAAUCCUGCUCAAAAUAUGGUCCUCGGGUCGGUGGAUCUGUGAUGUCUACGAACUACUAGGAGUCUGCAACAGAAAUUGACAGUUAGGCUUUUGAAAACUUUUAGAGUAGUUUAACAUUACCGGGCAUCCAAGCACAUGAUCAUUUUUCUAGCAUUUCAUUUUUGUUGUAUUUUCCAAAAGUACUGGUAUGAGACUGGAAAGUUAUUUUUAAGUUUGGGAAGCGCAGCUCUAAAACUGACACUUCCACACCACUGAAGCACACAGGCAGCCCCGCAAGCACAGGGCCAGGGGCAGCUCCUGCCAACUGGGAGAAACCGAACAGUCCCGGAGGAUGUGGAGGUCUGAGAUUAAUUCCUGCAACCAAAACACUGGGCUGAGAUACAACUUCAAAACUGCAGUUUUCAUCGUUCUGUAUCUUUCUAUCGCUUCCAGUGACAACACAAUACUGCACCGUCGCUGCAAGCGUCCGGUGCAAAACAGGAAAAAGGAGGCAGAUACCCCAGCACUGCGCGCGCGCGCCUGUGAGAAAGAGCAGGAAGCGGGGCAGCUUGUCCUGCCCCCAACUCUGGAGCCGCCGAGGACCCUGCACUCUGGAAACUAGAAUGCCUGUGUGAUUCUCUCUCGUCUUCUGACCUUAUUCUUCACCACUCAGUGCAAGACUCAUCUUCUCUGUGCAGCUUUCCCUGAUUGCACAAGGAAACAGUGGUUAUUCAUUCCAUUGGAGUUCUGCCGUAGAACUCACCAUUUACAUCACUCAGACCAAGCACAUCUUGAACGAGACCAAAAGCUGUAGAGGGUGAAGCACAUGAAGAAAGAGCUCAAUGGUUGAAAGUGGAAAAAUGGAAACCCCCUCAGGGGAAUCUUAAAAUUUUGAGUGGUGGCGGUGCUCAGCAGACAACACAGGCAGCAACACGCUCAAUGCUUGGAAACCAGAGAGCGUCAAGGAUGCUGUAAGAGAAUAUGCAGGGAAACUUUCAGCUUUACUGAGGAAUAAUUGAUAUACAAAAAGCUGCACGUACUUAAAGGAUCAAUUUGAUGAGGUUGGACGUAUGCAGACACCUGUGAAAGCAUCACCACAAUCAAGGAAGACCGUGUGAAGACCCAGGGGGAGAACGCCAUUGAUGAUGGAAGCAGAUUGGAGUCAUGCAGCUGCUAGCCGAGGAACACCGAGGAUUGCAGCCACCACUAGAAGCUAAGAAGGGGCAAGAAGGAUCCUAGCCAAAGUCUCAGAGGGAACAUGGCCCUACUGUCACCUUGAUUUUGGACUUCUAGCCUCCAGAGCUGUGAGAGAAUAAAUUUCUGUUCUUUUAAGCCAUCCAGCUUGUGGUAAUUUGUCAGGGAAUCUCCAGGGAACUCAGGCACUCCACUAGAUUGUCAGCUUCUGGAAGACAGGCAACACUGAGGUCACUCUCCCCUUCAGUGUCUGUCUCAUAGCAGGUGCCAGGCCAGAGGAAGUGAAGCUCUUCCUCUACUCAGAAGAUUCCCAGAGCUGCCCUAGCCCUGUGUCACUGAAGCAACUCCUUCACUGUGACACACAAGUGGGUGGUGGGAAAUGGGGCCAAUUCUCUGGGGAAAUUAAGUCUUUUGCUCCCCAUUCUGUGUCUGUGUUAUAUUCUUGAAGCCCACUUGGGAGCUUCAUUGGGGUUUGUAUUGCUGUUGAUAGUGUUGCUAUCUGUCAGCCCCACUCUUCUGUAUGGGAAUUAGCUGAACAUCUCUCUUCUGGGCUCCCAGAACACUCUGGGAAAACUUCUAUCCUGACUCUGCCACAGACUUGUACAGUGAUCUGCUUGUGCUUGUCCCCCAAGACUGAGGACCCUGGUGGGGAGAUGGUCUUAUUUAUUUCUGAAUCCCCAAUACUCAGUGUCCGGCACUUAACAGGAUUCUUGUGUGAGUGCUAACCUGAACAGACCUGGCUAUUUUAGAAUUUAGCUACAGGUUCAAGAAAAUUUCUGGAUAAUCCUUAGCGUUCCAUUCCUCAGUGAGAGCAACCCAGUGUCUCAAAGAAGAUUCUGUGUGUACAGUGUGUGUGUUAUAGGCACACGGCACUCGUGGAGAGGCUGGAAAGCUGGCCCGAUUCGUUUCUUCACAGUUUGUUAUGCAGAAGAAACAUAAGCCUUCUGAUUUCCUGGGCUGUUAACCUGGCACCUCAUUUCAUGUAUAAAACUUACAUUCAAAGAUACUACCUCUGUGAGUUAAUCAGCUUAUAAAGAUCAAAACUGUAUUAUACUAUGAGCAACUCAGAGUUCAUUCUUUAUGAAGAAUGACUUUAUAGGCUAGGUAAGAGGGAAUGCGUGCCCAAUCAUUAAUCCUCAAAACACCUUGACGAAAUUGGUAUCAGACCCACUUCAAAGAUGGUGAAGUUGAGAUUCAAAAAGGUUAAGUGACAAGCCCAAGAUCACACAGCUGCUGAGAGACAGAGCCCAGUGUCUCUAUGGGUUUGUUUGUUUUGUUGCUGCUUUUUUUCUUCUGAGGAAGAUUCACCCUGAGCUAACAUCUAUUGCCAAUCUUCCUUUUUUUUGUAUGUGAGCCACCACCACAACAUGGCCACUGACAGAAAAUGGUGUAUGUCUGCGUGAACCAAACCUGGGCAGCCGAAGCAGAGCAUGCUGAAUUUAACCACUAGGUCACCAGUGCUGGCCCAAAGCUGUGGAUUUUUAAAGAACUCCAUUCAGACUCUCAAAGUGAUACAAUUUUAAAGAAAACAGCUAAUUGUUUUUCACAAGAACUUGGAAUUACUUGUUCAAAUACAUGUUCUUCACAGCCAUCCUUGGAAUGGUAAACAGCUGUUCUGAUGAUUUGCUGUUCGUUUCAUUUUUGGAACAACUCUUUGAAGAUUCAGAUCUUCAGAACCUGAGGAACAUUCUUGUAAGUGUUACCUCUGAUGGCUAAUCUUCAACUCUGAAGUCUUUCUGAGCAAAAUAUGGAGAAUAAAACAGAUGAUUAAACUGAGCACUGAGGUUUUACGUCAAAAACGUGGUUGGCUACAAAGAUACAGGAUAUAUGUUGGUGUGGAUCUGGAGACAGCAUGGACAAGUUUUCGCACUGGAUCUGGAGCUUGGCAAAAACAGUCUGAAACAUACUUUGCUAUUGACCAGCUGACCUUGAACAAGCGGCUUGACCUCUCUGAGACUGUCUUCUCUCUGUAAAAUCAGAUCAUCACAUGUGUCAUAGGGUGGUUAGAAUGAGAUGAUGCAUACGCAGCAGUCACAUAGAGUCAGUACUUACCAAAUGAUAACCACUAUCACUGACCAAAAAAGGCUUCCCAAAAAAGGUUUUGAAUAAUAACAUCAUUGAAUGCAUAGCUUCAAGAACACUCAUGCAGAUUUUUAAGCUCUGGUACCUGUUACAUAUGUCCGGGGGCAGAUCAAGCGUUCAAGCUAUGUGCUUUGGUGUCUUCUGCAUUCCCAUGAGUUGAAUACAUUCCCACAAUUUGCAGUGAGGUUGGCCUUUACAACAGUUCAACAAUAAAAUCUAUUUAUUACUGCUCUA